CCCAGAGGGAACUGCAAAAGAACUCUUACCAUAUGAAUAUAACAUGUUGUUACUUUUUCUCCAUAUUUUCUUUUCCUGACUUCGAGGGCAGAAAUAUUAGAUUUCCAAGUCAAGUAGGAAGACUCAUAUUUUCUUCUUACCUUGUGAAGUGAGAAGUUUGUUGCUCCUACUUCAACUGUGAGAUCACUGGAAACAUCAGAAAUUGGCCUGUAAGAAGAAAUACUGUUAGUAGGUAUUCAUGACAAACAAAAUCAUACUUCCCCAAUAUCAUGAAGAACUAUUUAGCCUACAUCUUU